CUCUUGCUGCCCGCCUGCCGCAGCACUCAGCCAACCCACCACCUCCUGUGCCAGGACGGUGCUACUACUACCACCGGCACCAUGUCUUACCCCUACCCAGCACUGACCCCGGAGCAGAAGAAGGAGCUGUCUGACAUCGCUCGCCGAAUUGUGGCUCCGGGCAAGGGCAUCCUGGCUGCAGAUGAGUCCACUGGAAGCAUUGCCAAGCGGCUGCAGUCCAUUGGCACCGAGAACACCGAGGAGAACAGGCGCUUCUACCGUCAGCUGCUGCUGACUGCCGACGACCGUGUGAAUCCCUGCAUUGGGGGUGUGAUCCUCUUCCAUGAGACACUGUACCAGAAGGCAGAUGAUGGACGUCCCUUCCCCCAGAUUAUCAAGUCCAAGGGUGGUGUUGUGGGCAUUAAGGUGGACAAGGGCGUGGUGCCCCUGGCAGGAACUAACGGCGAGACCACCACCCAAGGGCUGGAUGAUUUGUCUGGACGCUGUGCUCAGUACAAGCAGGAUGGAGCCGAUUUUGCCAAAUGGCGCUGUGUGCUGAAGAUUGGGAAACACACCCCCUCAGCCCUCGCCAUUAUGGAAAAUGCCAAUGUUCUGGCUCGUUAUGCCAGCAUCUGCCAGCAGAAUGGCAUUGUACCCAUUGUGGAGCCAGAAAUCCUCCCUGAUGGCGACCAUGACUUGAAGCACUGUCAGUAUGUAACUGAGAAGGUACUGGCCGCUGUCUACAAGGCUCUGAGCGACCACCAUGUCUACCUGGAAGGAACCUUACUGAAGCCCAACAUGGUCACCCCAGGCCAUACUUGCACUCAGGUAUUUUCCAGUGAAGAGAUUGCCAUGGCAACUGUCACAGCACUUCGUCGCACAGUGCCCCCUGCUGUCCCUGGAGUCACUUUCCUCUCUGGAGGACAGAGUGAAGAAGAGGCAUCCAUCAACCUCAAUGCUAUCAACAAGUGUCCCCUGCUGAAGCCGUGGACCUUGACUUUCUCCUAUGGCCGAGCCCUGCAGGCUUCUGCCCUAAAGGCCUGGGGUGGGAAGAAGGAGAACACGAAGGAUGCCCAAGAGGAGUACAUUAAGAGAGCCCAGGCCAACAGCCUUGCUUGUCAAGGAAAGUACACCCCAAGCAAUGAAUCAGGGGCAGCCGCCAGUGAAUCCCUCUUCAUCUCUAACCACGCCUACUGAGCAGAGGUGGCCUAAGGCUGCCCCUGCAGCACCCCAGGUCCCUGCCUACCCACUUGCUCUUGAGAAGAGGAACCCUUCAGGCUCUCUCCCAUCAACCCCUCUUGCUACCCCUCACGACUUUGGUGUGUGGUAUUGUCUGUGAAUGCUGGCUCUGUCAUCCCUUCCAACCCGCUGCUAGUCAACAACUAUUUAAAGGGGGAAGGAGGAAGGGCCGCUUCUGCCCCUUUCUCUUGAAGAUUCGCUGGGCAUGGAGGUGGCAGGUAUCACAUUUUUAGGGUAUGCCUGUAAUACCACGUAAAGUGUCCCCACUCCAGCCAUCUCAUGUGUUUUUAAAGUCUGCUUCAAACAGGUGUUUGUUUGUUUCUUUCUGUCUGGGAACUACUGUAACCUUGAAAAUUUGAACUGUUUGGUCAGUGAGCACUUGCCAAACCUCGAGUCUACAUAUCAGCAAAUGUGUUUCUGUUUAACUAUCUUUUUACAGUCCUAAGAGAAAUAAACAUAUAAAAUAAACGCAUCUCAAUGC